CUCUGGCGUGGUUGGCAGGCAUAAGUAUCACACAGGGAGUUAUGAUGCUUCUAUGCCAUGAUGCAGGGAACAGCAAUGGAAGGGAACUGUGCAAGUCCUCUGGUAAUUCAGAUCCUCUCGGCCCAUCAGCUUCCUUUGGAAAAGCAUACACACCAGACUGAACUACAG
rnacentral:lncRNA from 12 species